UCUUCCUAGGAGCACGUUGUAAGUAGUAGGACCAUCUAUUACAAAGAAGACAGUGGUCCUAGUAGUCGUCCCUAUAGUUAUGUCCAAUGGCAUAACUCCCUUAGCUGAAGUUGCUCCUCCAUUGAAGCUAGUGAGGAUGACUUCUGUAGGAAUCAUGUCACCCUCUGUCUUUGCGAACUUCUUCAUCAUCCUAGAUGGAAUGGUGUUUAUAGCUGCUCCAUUGUCGACAAGCACUUUUGCCACUGGGACGCCGUUAACUAGAGCUUUAACAUAUAAUGGCCUCAAGUGUUUUGUCAAUUUCAUGGCUGGCCGUUUAAAAAUAAC
rnacentral:lncRNA from 1 species